UACGUAGGGGGCAAGCGUUGUCCGGAUUUAUUGGGCGUAAAGAGCGUGUAGGCGGCCAGACAAGUCUGCUGUGAAAACUCGAGGCUCAACCUCGAGCUGUCGGUGGAAACUGUCUGGCUAGAGUCCGGAAGAGGAGAGUGGAAUUCCUGGUGUAGCGGUGAAAUGCGCAGAUAUCAGGAGGAACACCAAUUGCGAAGGCAGCUCGCUGGGACGUUACUGACGCUGAGACGCGAAAGCGUGGGGAGCGAACAGG
rnacentral:rRNA from 1 species